GAUUUGAUCCUGGCUCAGAACGAACGCUGGCGGCGUGCCUAACACAUGCAAGUCGAACGUGAUCCAGAGCUUGCUCUGGUGAAAGUGGCGCACGGGCGAGUAACGCGUGGAUAACCUACCCUGGUAUCCGGGAUAACAUUCCGAAAGGGGUGCUAAUACCGGAUAAGCCCACGGGCUCUUUGGAGCUUGCGGGAAAAGGUGGCCUCUAUUUAUAAGCUACUGUAUCAGGAUGGGUCCGCGUACCAUUAGCUAGUUGGCGGUGUAACGGACCACCAAGGCGACGAUGGUUAGCUGGUCUGAGAGGAUGAUCAGCCACACUGGAACUGAGACACGGUCCAGACUCCUACGGGAGGCAGCAGUGGGGAAUUUUGCGCAAUGGGGGAAACCCUGACGCAGCAACGCCGCGUGAGUGAUGAAGGCCUUUGGGUCGUAAAGCUCUGUCAGAGGGGAAGAAAUGAUAUAGUGCUAAUACCACUUUAUCUUGACGGUACCCUCAAAGGAAGCACCGGCUAACUCCGUGCCAGCAGCCGCGGUAAUAC
rnacentral:rRNA from 1 species